AUACCAUGGCCUGAAGGCCCACCCCAGCAGGCAGCGACCCCAAAUCAUGUGUGUGUGUUGGGGAAGUGGGCGUAGUGGGGCAGAAGGUAAGCAGGCUGGAAGAGCUGACUCCUACAGCUGCGCCUCCAGGAGGUGUUUGCAACAGCUGCCGCAGGCCUCCUGCCACCUCCACUGGGGCAAACACAUCUGGAACGGGGCAAGUGGGUCUGGGAGAAGGUGGGCCCAAAACAACAAAACCACCACCAAAACACUGGCUAGAAGGUUUGUGGGGGCUUUCUCAGCGCCAGCCCUGCACCUUGCGCAUGACAGGCGUCAUCUCUUGAGGCGAUCACUAUUUGCCCCAUUUUACAGAUGAAAAGACUGAGGACCAAAGAGGUAAGAUGGCCUUCUCAAGAGCCCAGAGCCGAAAAGCGUUGAAGCCAAAAAGCGCAGCAGGAAGAGGCGUUCGCGGUGGGUGUUCCGCUCGGCUUGGGGUGGGGGAUCCAGCCGCGCACCUGUCCCCAGUGUCAAGCCCUGGGCCUAAGGCUGAGGACCCAGAGAUGAGCUGGAUCUGAAACCUGCCCCCAAGGAGCUCACAAUCCAAGAGGAAGACUGGAGUUGCUGAAAAUACCCUGAUAUUCCAUCAAUGAGUCAGUAAUUCCAAGUUGGGAAAAGAGCUUUCAACAAUAGGAAGAGGAUGAUACCUGAUGUCAGCUGGAGGGAGGCCUGGUGCUGAAGACUUGUGAGGAAAUGGCACUCACACAGCAAUUCGACCAUUCGCAAGCAAAGAAUGUGGGGAAGAGUAUAGCAGGCAGUGGGAACAGAGAAGGUGGUGGCCCCGAGGCAACAAGCACAUGGCAAUUCCCGGAGCAGAAAGGAGGCGCGGAUGGCUGGCACAGAGUGAAGAAGGAGGAUGUGAGAGACGAGGUGGAGAGACCAGGGCCAGACCACACGGCCUCACGGGCCAGGGUAAGCAUUUUGGAUUUUACUGCAAGUAUAGUGGGACACCACUAUAAUAAUAAGUAGGGGAGUGAUGUGGUUCUGUGAACAUUUUCGUGGACAAUUCUGGCUGCUGUAGAAGGCUAGUCUGAAGGGCCGGAAUGUGAGGGAGGUCAGCUGUGAGGAAAUGGGGGGUGUCCACAUGAGACAUGAAGAUGGCUGGGACUAGGGUGGUGGCAAUGGGGGAGGAGAGGAGCAAGUGUCCCCAGAAGCAAUUUUGAAGGUAGACCCAACAGGAUUGGUUAUUGGCUGAAGAUGGGGUGUGGGGGAGAGGGAGGAGUCAAGGAUGAGGCCCCCUGAAUGCGGAAGUGCCUUCCCUGCCAUAGAAAGAUUAGGGGAAGAGGGAGGGCUCUAGCUGGAUGAGAACGAUCCUGGCAGGCGCCACACGUGCCUUGCGGUUGGAUUUGAUGUUGUAGGUGGGAGGUUGGGCAGGGAGAUUCUGGGUAAAGAAGAUCCAUUGGGGAAUGCUGUGAGGACAGGCUGGUAGGUGGAAUCUGGAGGAGGGAUGACCAGAGUGGAGGCUGAGACAAUGGUCCAUACAACAGGGGAGCAAGGGCCAUCAGGAUGCAGAUGAGGGUACGAAUUCAAGUGAGAGUCUGCAGGAUUUCAGUGGGCCUCGAAGUGGGUGGCUGGGCAGGGUGGCUGAGUGGACGCGGAGGCCAUCACCGAUGGACAGUCGGGAGGAAAGCAGAUUAAGGGAAGAUGCUUGGGUCAGUGCCAGCGGAAGAUCAGGAAGAGGCAUCUCAGAAGCAGCAAAGUCUAUGGGCCAGGAAGCCAGCAGAUGCUUAAUAAAUUUACAUUGACACAAACACUCCUUAUUGCACCCCCCCAACACCAAUUUCCCAGGAGUUCACCUCAAGUAAGAAGAAACCUAGAAGCACUGUGAUUCAGCUCAAAGAAGAUAAAAGUCAGGAGACUGACCAGGUUCCAUGCUGAAACUGACUAGCUGGUGACCUAGGCCAGCCCCCUGUGCUCUCUGGGUCUCAAUUUCCCCAUCUGUAAGUGGGAAGGGGGCUGGCGGGGCACUCUAAGACUUCUUCCAGCUCGAACAUUCUGUGGCUUGAAAGAAAUAAGAACAGGCAAGAUGUAUUGAUGGGCCAACUAGCUGUCGGACCAAUACGGAUAGAGAGAGAAUGUACUGCAGGCUUACACUAGGGAGGGCCCGGCUAAGUAUACUCAGGUUUCCACUGAGUCCUCAGCUUUUAUUAAGGACUUUUAUUAUCCUCAUUUUAAAGACGAGAAAACUGAGGCCCAUGGUCACACAGUUAGGCCAGGUGGACCUGGAGUCUCUCUGACCCCACAGCCUAUGCCUAAACUGCUUGCUGAGCUCACCACUCCUCAUCUUGGCUUGCACGUGUCUCUCUGACUGUAGGUCCUGCAAGAACAAGGUCCUUGAUAUCAUCACCACAUACCCACCAGGGCCUCCAAAGAAGCAGGUGCCUGGCCCUGGGCCUUCCCCUGAUGAGGCUCUGCCCCCGGCCCAGCAGCCCCUACCCAUCACCACGCUGCAAGGUCUACUCCAGCCCAGACCUCCCACCCACCCAGCAGUGACUGCAGGCACAAGGCCACCGCCACUCCCCACAUCACAGGGAGCUGUCCAAAGGCUGAAAUGCAAGGCUCCUUGUCCUCAGUCCAGAAGCCCUACUGCCUCCAGGACAAGCCCAAUCCCCUCACCACAGCCUCCAGGGCCCUGCAGGACCUCAACUCUCUCCACGAGAGCACCACAUGCCAGCCCCAGUGGAGGAAGCCAAGUCUGUCCCCACCUUGGGGCCUUUGACCUUGCGGACCUCUCCUCUAGAAGGCUGUUGCUCGUCUCUUCCCAUUCCUCUCAUCCUUCAGGACUCAGCUCAAAGGACACCUCCUCUGAGAAGCCCGCCCUUAGUCAUUCUCCACUCCAUCACCCAGCUGUAUUUUCCUGACAGUGCUCUCGGGAACUCCAUUACUGUCGACUCGUUUGACUGUCUGUUUCCCACUCUGAAGGGUAAGCUCUCUGAAAGCAGGUGUCCUUUUCUGUCGUGUUCACUGUGGCAUUCCCAACACUUAAAACAGUGCCUGACACACAGCAGGUGCUUAAGCCCUAUUUUCUGAAUGAUAGAUUCCUCCAGGCUCCAAAGAAUGAAGUCCAAGGCUGGCUGUUCAAGCUCAGGUGGGUAGGGGUCCCUGCCAACCUCUUUCUCCAUUUUGCGCUCAGAGCUCACCUUCUUCCUCUGUUAAACAACUGGGGUUCUCCUACAUGCCUGUCCUUCAUGCUUCCUUUGUCUGCCACACAAAUUCUACCCACCUCUACAGCCUCUGCUCAGAUCUCCCCUGUCUAGAAGCCUUCUCAGACUCCACUGGACGCCCGAUUAAUAGUAACGACCUCACUCUUGCACAGCUCCAGGCCGCAUCCCGGGCUUUAGCACCAGUCCUCCUGCGUUGUAAUUACUUCUCAGUGAGUCUGCCCCCACGGGGUGGGUUUGAUUCAAUCUUGUGGAGUCGGAGUCCAGCACUGGGCUGCAGAUAGCCAGGGCUCCAAGAACAUUUGUGAAUGAGGCACCUGCCCCCGCAGACUAUAAUUAUCUCUACAGGUGUAUAUCGUGUAUAUAAGACUGGUUUGGGAGUCAGACAUAUGAAAGUUUGGAAACUGGUUCCUCCAUUCAGUUGCUGUGUGACCCUGGGGAAGUGACUUUGCAUCCAUGAACCUCAGGUUCCUCAUCUGUGAAAUGGGGGCAGUAACAUGAGCUGACAGGAACUUCAUUAACUUUAAAUAUAAUACUUGCCACCAUGGAUAAGGAACUCAAAAGUUCACAAAGCAUUCAUCACCCAAGGUUUGAAAUAGAAAACUCAGAAACAACCUAGAUGCCACCAAUUCAGCACAGUGGCUAAGGAUAUUGUAGUAUAUUUGUACUCAGUACGUGGCCAAGAAAGAGAAUGAGACAGACCUAUGGAUUUGGACUUGGAACAUUCUCUAAGACACUGCUGAGUGAAAAGGCAAAUUGCAGAAUGGUUUAUACCACUUAAUGUCAUUUAUGUAAAACACAUACAAAAAACAUUAUUCAUUUUCUAUGAGUGCGAAAGUGAUGACAAAUGCAGAGAAAAAGAUCUGGAAGGUAACUAGUUAACUAAUGACAACUACCUUUGGUGAGGGGUCCAGGACUGGGAAAGCAGAAGGGACUCGAAGGGGAUUUUAGCCUUUCUCUUAUGGUUUUGGUUUUUAUAAUGAGAUUAUAUUCAUUUUUUAAUUAAAAUUAGAAUUUAUUAAGUGAUACAGAGGUGGCUAACACAAAGAGAAGCAAAGAAAUGACUAUCCCCAAAGUGAGGACAGUGGUUACCUCCAGCAGGAGGGAGAGAGGGGUAUGUUCGGGGAGGACACACAGGGGUGGGGGCCCCCGGGGCAUGGGCAGCCUCUUUUGUUCCAACCUAAGUGGUGGCUGCACAGAUGUUCACUCUAUAAAGAUUGGUUAAACUGCACACUUAUGACUUGUCCACACGACUGUGCUUCCUGUGGGCAGGGGCCAAUUCGUACGCAUCCCAGUAUCAUCUGCUCCCCACCCACCCCCAAUUCCUGCCCAGAAGCAGACCUUAACAGAAAUCUGUGUUCGGUAGGGUGCGCCCCACGGCUGCAAGUGCUCCAAGGGCCCGCGGCCGCUGUCCAGGGUACUAACGGCCCAAGCCUGGGAGGCCUCAGGGGAGGCUGGCCUAAUAAGCCAGCUUCAAGACUCCUUAUCCUAACCAGCCAGCCCUCCAGCCUGCCGUGUCACCGGCCCCUGCCCGCCUCUAAUACAUCACCUCCCAUCACCCCCACCUCUCGCUCUCUUCCUCAGGCCGGCUUUUGUUCCUGCGGCCCAAGCCCAGCUCCAACGUGCCUCAGGACCUCUGCUCUUGCUCUCCCCCUGCCUGGUGCCAUCUCUCCUCAUUGUCCCCGUGGCGCAUCCCCUCACUUAUUCCAGGAUUCCACUCACACGCCUUCUCCACAGAGGAGUCUUUUUGAUCAUCGCACCUCACGUAGCCUUUCCUCUCCUCAUCACUCUCCAUCCUUGACCAGGCUGCAUUUUCUUCCUGCACUUCCCACUGUCCAACAUUCAAGUUUCUGUUAUGUGCUUGUUGAUCAUCUGUCUCCCCCCACUGGAAUAUUCAUGCUGUGGGGGGACAGGGAGCAGGUCUGUCCUGUUUGGUUUUACUCUCCUUUUUAAAGGGGCCUCAGGUAUUACCGUUAAGUGAAAUAAACCAGACAGAGAAAGACAAACACCAUAUGAUUUCACUCAUCUGUGGAAGAUAAACAAACACAUGGAUAAGGAGAAUAGCUCGUUGGU